AUGCAUAAAAAGGAAUUGGACCACUUUAUUUUUCUCUCUCUAUUUUCAAUUGGUUUUCAGGGAAUAUCGUAUACGGUCAAACCAGCUAAAAAAGCUUACACAAGGACAUUAUGCCCUUCACCCUUUUCCUUUUCAUGGACCACCCCCAUUCCAAUUCAAAUUUCUAAUCUUAUUACUAGUAGUAUUAUAUUUCUUCCUAUCAAUCAAAACAUAAUGUAA